rnacentral:misc_RNA from 1 species
UCUCCGUUGGUGAACCAGCGGAGGGAUCAUUGCUGGAAGCGUCUCACGGCGCACCCAGAUACCCUUUGUGAACCUAUACCUAUCUGUUGCCUCGGCGCAGGCUGGGAGCUUCUGUAAACUCCCCCCCGCGGACUCACCUCUGCGCGGAGCAGGCCCGCCGACGGCCCACAACUCAUUGUCUGACUCUAAGCAUCUCCGAGCCAUACACAAACGAAUCAAAACUUUCAACAACGGAUCUCUUGGUUCUGGCAUCGAUGAAGAACGCAGC